CCCUUAGAUGUUCCGGGCCGCACGCGCGCUACACUGAUGCAUUCAACGAGUCCAACCUUGACCGAGAGGUCCGGGUAAUCUUUGAAACUGCAUCGUGAUGGGGCUAGAUUAUUGCAAUUAUUAAUCUUCAACGAGGAAUGCCUAGUAAGCGUGAUUCAUCAAAUCGCGUUGAUUACGUCCCUGCCCUUUGUACACACCGCCCGUCGCUCCUACCGAUUGAGUGUGUUGGUGAGGAGUUUGGAUUGGCCUCGGAAGGUGGUUCGCCACCGUCCGUAGCUGAGAAGUUCUCCAAACCGCCCCACUUAGAGGAAGGAGAAGUCGUAACA
rnacentral:rRNA from 1 species